AGACUUCAGCAUGUCUUGUUUUGAAGCAAGGUCUAAAAACAGUUUUAUCCCAGACACCUCAGGCUUCUGUGUUUUUGGAUGUCCUUGGGGUGAGCUCACAGAUGGCCAGGAAUCCAUGCUGUUUACAACAACCACUUCAUCAAGAGUUAGAGUUUUUGAUAGACAGUGCAGCAAUUGUGAAAGGACAAAAGAAUUUGAUGGUGGGGAGGAACACCUUCUCAAAAUUGGAACCUAUAUGGUUUCCCACCAAGUCUUCCGACAGUAUUCAAAACAGUUCCUCACAGACGGAACAACGCUGUCAUCAUUUUACAAGACAUUGGUGUGGCAGCACGCCGAGAAGGGACACUGGGAAUUCAGUAACCAACUGUCAUACUACAGGUUGAUGUUUCAACAACUAUUUUUUACUCUACUGUUUGUAGACUAGUAGAGCUUGUACAAAGGUCACUGGCAUGCUCAUGAUAGUAUUAAGUACUGGAACUUAUUCUUCUAGACAGUUGCAGAAUCUGUUCUUACACAGUCCCCUCUAACUUCAUGCAACAUUCAAUAUUUUAGUGGUUACACAAUAUGUUGAUGAUUUCCCUCAUUAUUCUUACAUGUAAUGUUGGUUGGUUGGUUGGUUUGUUGUUUAACGCCGCACUCAGCAAUAUUACAGCUAUAUGACGGCGGUCUGUAAA